rnacentral:rRNA from 1 species
AUUGAACGCUGGCGGCAGGCCUAACACAUGCAAGUCGAGCGGAUGAAGGGAGCUUGCUCCUGGAUUCAGCGUCUGACGGGUGAGUAAUGCCUAUGAAUCUGCCUGGUAGUUGGGGAUAACGUCCGGAAACGGGCGCUAAUACCGCAUACGUCCUUAGUGAGAAAGUGGGGGAUCUUCGGACCUCACGCUAUCAGAUGUGCCUAGGUCGGAUUAGCUAGUUGGUUGGGUAAAGGCCUACCAAGGCGACGAUCCGUAACUGGUCUGAGAGGAUGAUCAGUCAAACUGGAACUGAGACACGGUCCAGACUCCUACGGGAGGCAGCAGUGGGGAAUAUUGGACAAUGGGCGAAAGCCUGAUACAGCAAUGCCGCGUGAGUGAAGAAGGUCUUAGGAUUGUAAAGCACUUUAAGUUGGGAGGAAGGGAAGUAAGAUAAAAAAUUGAUGUUUUGACGUUACCAAAAGAAUAAGCAACGGCUAACUUCGUG